UACGUAGGGUGCGAGCGUUGUCCGGAAUUAUUGGGCGUAAAGAGCUUGUAGGCGGUUUGUCGCGUCUGCCGUGAAAAUCCGGGGCUCAACCCCGGACUUGCGGUGGGUACGGGCAGACUAGAGUGUGGUAGGGGAGACUGGAAUUCCUGGUGUAGCGGUGAAAUGCGCAGAUAUCAGGAGGAACACCGAUGGCGAAGGCGGGUCUCUGGGCAUUACCUGACGCUGAGGAGCGAAAGUGUGGGGAGCGAACAGG
rnacentral:rRNA from 1 species